rfam:Haemonchus contortus, ISE/inbred ISE, WGS project CAVP01000000 data, contig: Hcontortus_contig_pathogens_Hcontortus_scaffold_2670
CUGGCGGAUAGGAACCAGGCAAUAUCUGUGUGCUGCUUGGGCCGAAAACCGCCGAAAUCAUGAAGAUGUUUUAAAGGUCGUAUGUGUUACUUUUUGUAGCAUGUAUAUCACCAGAAUAUCUAACAGCG